rnacentral:rRNA from 1 species
GUCUAUGGCCAUGCCACCCUGAACACGCCCAAUCUCCUCUGAUCUCAGAAGCUAAGCAUGGUUGGGCCUGGUUAGUACUUGGAUGGGAUAGUGUCCAUAUGUUCUUGACU